UACGUAGGGUGCAAGCGUUGUCCGGAAUUAUUGGGCGUAAAGAGCUCGUAGGCGGCUCGUUGCGUCGGCUGUGAAAACCCGCAGCUCAACUGUGGGCUUGCAGCUGAUACGGGCGGGCUUGGAUUCGGUAGGGGAGACUGGAAUUCCUGGUGUAGCGGUGAAAUGCGCAGAUAUCAGGAGGAACACCGGUGGCGAAGGCGGGUCUCUGGGCCGAUACUGACGCUGAGGAGCGAAAGCGUGGGGAGCGAACAGG
rnacentral:rRNA from 1 species